AAAAAAAAAAAUUGGACAUUCAAAACUUGUAUGGUACAAGAAUUACUGAUUUAUAUCAAUUUAUAGCUAAUAUACUAUAUACAUACAACUAUUUGGUGUUCAUGAUAAAUUUUCCAAAUAAAAAAAAUUAUGUAGGUUCUUUAAAUAUUUGAUUAUAAUAUUUGUAUUAUAUACUUAUUUUUCUUUAACUUAUAUUCUUUCGUUAACUAAACAAGAAAAUACAAAAAGAAAACUAGUUAUUGAUUAAACUAGAACAAAAUCUUGAGUUUUCGCUAGUUAAUAAUUACAGGAGCCAAAAUCAGUUGACUCUUUAUAGAAAAAAGUAUAACUUUUGAUAUAGAAAUAAAAUAGUUUAGAGACAUUCGGGCCAAAAUACAAAAAGAAUGCACAAAUUAACAAUAUACCAUAAAAAAAAUAUUGUUUCUAGGUAAAAAAAUGAACGUAAGAGCAUGUUUAUUGGUGUCCCUUAAGAGGGAUUGUUAACAUUAAUGCCUUAAUGGGUAUUUAAAUUAAAUGAAAAAUGUGAUUAAAGCAAGGUGUGUCCUUUAAUUAGGAGCGUGAAGGCACGGGUCCUUAGAGCCAGGUGUCGCAUUUCUAAUGGGGAGAGGAGAAAUCACGACCGUUUCAUCUUCUUUCGGUUUCUCUUAUCUCCCUUGGCGAAAGGCGAUUCGAUGGCGAUUCUCUCCCUCUCCGUGGUUCUCCUCGACGGAACGGCGACGGCUCUAUCGGUGGGUCUCGGCGACGAAGGAAAACCGUGACCUUUCUAUCGGUAGCUCUUCUCGACCUUGGAAAAUGGCGAGAAACGGUGACAUCUCACUAUAUCGGUGGCUCUCUGAGACGAUCUAUACUGGCGACUAUUGCGGUUGAGGCGAAUCGAAAGUGGAAUUGAUCGAGAGGCAUCACACAGGUUCGCUUUCUGUUAAUUGUCAAUUUGUAAUACAAAAAUCAGAAUUUUUUUUAUUUGUUUGUGUCUGUUUUUUGUCGAGGUGGAUUGAUCAAGAGGCUGUCGGAGACAUAUUGUGUCUGUCUGGGUUAAGGUGGUUUGAUCAAGACGCAUCACACAACUUUUUCACACAAAAGGCCUACGAUUCUUCAUAGAGGUCACAGGUUGCUUUGGACAGAGACAAUGUGAGGUUUGGUCACGGGUUGGUUUGGACAGAGACAAUGUGAGGUUAAGGGGUUGUGGUUUCUGGUUGGUGUUGUUGUCAUCACAGAGGUUCAUGGGCUGUUGUUGUUGUUGUUGUCUUCUUGUUGUUCACGGGUUGUUGUUGUUGUCUUCUUGUAAUCUUGUUGUUGUGUUGUGUCAGGAGAGUGAGAGAGUGUUGUUGUUGUUAUAUAUCCGAGACAUUAUGAUCACAAACACACUCAUCUUGUUGUUGUUGUUAUAUAAAUCACAAUAAUAAAUCACAAGCCAUUGUCAUCU